GUAAGUAACCUGCCCCCAAGUAGGGAAUAACUCUGAGAAAUUAGAGCUAAUACCAUAUGUGGUGAUGGAGGUAAUGCUUCAUCACUAAAGCCUUAGGGCGCUUAGGGAUGGGCUUGCGUCCGAUUAGCUAGUUGGUAGAGUAAUGGUUUACCAAGGCGAUGAUCGGUAGCUGGUUUGAGAGGACAUUCAGCCACACUGGGAUUGAGAUACGGCCCAGACUCCUACGGGAGGCAGCAGCAAGGAAUUUUGUGCAAUGGGCGAAAGCCUGACACAGCGACGCCGUGUGGGGGAUGAAGGCUUUCGGGUUGUAAACCCCUUUUCUCAGGGAAGAAUGAUGACGGUACCUGAGGAAUAAGUCGUGGCUAACUACGUGCCAGCAGCCGCGGUAAUACGUAGGCGGCAAGCGUUAUCCGGAUUUACUGGGCGUAAAGAGAGCGUAGGCGGUCUUUCAAGUCGAUUGUGAAAUCUCCCGGCUUAACUGGGAGGGGCCAGUCGAUACUGUUAGACUGGAGGGCAGCAGGGGGAGGUGGAAUUCCCGGUGUAAUGGUGGAAUAUGUAGAUAUCGGGAGGAACACCAGUGGCGAAGGCGGCCUCCUAGGCUGUUUCUAACGCUGAGGCUCGAAAGCGUGGGGAGCAAACAGACUUAGAUACUCUGGUAGUCCACGCUGUAAACGAUGGACACUAGGUAUAGGGAGUAUCGACCCUCUCUGUGCCGUAGCUAACGCAUUAAGUGUCCCGCCUGGGGAGUACGGCCGCAAGGCUAAAACUCAAAGGAAUUGACGGGGGCCCGCACAAGCAGCGGAGCGUGUGGUUUAAUUCGAUGCAACGCGAAGAACCUUACCAAGGCUUGACAUGUCGGAAGUAGCGACCCG
rnacentral:rRNA from 1 species